UACGUAGGGUGCGAGCGUUGUCCGGAAUUAUUGGGCGUAAAGGGCUCGUAGGCGGUUUGUCGCGUCGGGAGUGAAAACUCAGGGCUUAACCCUGAGCCUGCUCCCGAUACGGGCAGACUAGAGGUAUGCAGGGGAGAACGGGAUUCCUGGUGUAGCGGUGAAAUGCGCAGAUAUCAGGAGGAACACCGGUGGCGAAGGCGGUUCUCUGGGCAUUACCUGACGCUGAGGAGCGAAAGUGUGGGGAGCGAACAGG
rnacentral:rRNA from 1 species